rnacentral:lncRNA from 1 species
CCUGGCGCAGGACCAAUGUGGCGCAGCCCUGCUGUUGCUGGGGGGCGCCGGAGGCCUCCGUCCCUUGCCCAGGCUUCUGGCUCUCCAGGCUGCCUCCCUUCCGCCCACGCUCCAGGGCUUCCCCGGCUCCCGAGCUCCGAGCUUCCACCACAUCGGCCGGCUCAGGACAGAACCCAGAGUUGAUCUCUGCAGCAUGCCAUCACUGCUGGGGAUGAGGAAACGGUGAUUUCAGGACUGUUUUUUCUGUCUCUUCAGUGCCUCUUUCAGUGAUCUCAGGUUAAAACCAGGUACUUUGAGUACUCAUCUGAUCUUUGGUUCCUAUGAAUGUAUUUUCUAUGUGGAUAUUAAUAGUUGUUCAUCUGGUGUCCUUGCAGGAGGGACAAUCAGUGGAGCCUUCUUUCUGCCAUCUUGCUUUACUCUCACACCCAAGAAUCAGAAUUCAGAACUUUUAAUAAGAAAAGCUUUCAGAACUCAGGAAGGACAAGGAAGACAUUCUGGUUCUCCAUGCUUAACAUUGGACUCUUUCUUCAACUUAGACUAUGGAGGAUUCAUCACCAGACCAGGAAGCAACAGCCUGGGCUCCAGAGUUGGCCAGCAGUCCAUGCACAGACGAGGAGAGGUCCCAUGAACCUUCAGCGUGGUCU